GUCGAGCGGGGAAAGGUAGCUUGCUACUUGACCUAGCGGCGGACGGGUGAGUAAUGCUUAGGAAUCUGCCUAUUAGUGGGGGACAACAUCUCGAAAGGGAUGCUAAUACCGCAUACGUCCUACGGGAGAAAGCAGGGGACCUUCGGGCCUUGCGCUAAUAGAUGAGCCUAAGUCGGAUUAGCUAGUUGGUGGGGUAAAGGCCUACCAAGGCGACGAUCUGUAGCGGGUCUGAGAGGAUGAUCCGCCACACUGGGACUGAGACACGGCCCAGACUCCUACGGGAGGCAGCAGUGGGGAAUAUUGGACAAUGGGGGGAACCCUGAUCCAGCCAUGCCGCGUGUGUGAAGAAGGCCUUUUGGUUGUAAAGCACUUUAAGCGAGGAGGAGGCUACCGAGAUUAAUACUCUUGGAUAGUGGACGUUACUCGCAGAAUAAGCACCGGCUAACUCUGUGCCAGCAGCCGCGGUAAUACAGAGGGUGCAAGCGUUAAUCGGAUUUACUGGGCGUAAAGCGCGCGUAGGUGGCCAAUUAAGUCAAAUGUGAAAUCCCCGAGCUUAACUUGGGAAUUGCAUUCGAUACUGGUUGGCUAGAGUAUGGGAGAGGAUGGUAGAAUUCCAGGUAGUAGCGGUGAAAUGCGUAGAGAUCUGGAGGAAUACCGAUGGCGAAGGCAGCCAUCUGGCCUAAUACUGACACUGAGGUGCGAAAGCAUGGGGAGCAAACAGGAUUAGAUACCCUGGUAGUCCAUGCCGUAAACGAUGUCUACUAGCCGUUGGGGCCUUUGAGGCUUUAGUGGCGCAGCUAACGCGAUAAGUAGACCGCCUGGGGAGUACGGUCGCAAGACUAAAACUCAAAUGAAUUGACGGGGGCCCGCACAAGCGGUGGAGCAUGUGGUUUAAUUCGAUGCAACGCGAAGAACCUUACCUGGUCUUGACAUAGUAAGAACUUUCCAGAGA
rnacentral:rRNA from 1 species